UGAGGAAUAUUGGGCAAUGCUCGCAAGAGUGACCCCAGCCAUGCCGCGUGCAGGAAGACGGUCCUAUGGAUUGUAAACUGCUUUUAUACGGGAAGAAACCCUCCUUCGUGAAGGAGCUUGACGGUACCGUAUGAAUAAGCAUCGGCUAACUCCGUGCCAGCAGCCGCGGUAAUACGGAGGAUGCAAGCGUUAUCCGGAAUCAUUGGGUUUAAAGGGUCCGUAGGCGGCCUGAUAAGUCAGUGGUGAAAUCUCCUAGCUCAACUAGGAAACUGCCAUUGAUACUGUCGGGCUUGAAUUGUGGUGAAGUAACUAGAAUAUGUAGUGUAGCGGUGAAAUGCUUAGAUAUUACAUGGAAUACCAAUUGCGAAGGCAGGUUACUAACCAUUGAUUGACGCUGAUGGACGAAAGCGUGGGGAGCGAACAGGAUUAGAUACCCUGGUAGUCCACGCCGUAAACGAUGGAUACUAGCUGUUGGGAGUAAUCUCAGUGGCUAAGCGAAAGUGAUAAGUAUCCCACCUGGGAGA
rnacentral:rRNA from 1 species